rnacentral:tRNA from 1 species
UGGGGUGUAGCUCAGGGGCAGCGCGCAUGCCUAGCAUGCACAGAGUCCUGGGUUCAAUUCCCAGAACCUCUA